UACAGAGGUCUCAAGCGUUGUUCGGAUUCAUUGGGCGUAAAGGGUGCGUAGGUGGCGCGCUAAGUCAGGUGUGAAAUUUCGGAGCUCAACUCCGAAACUGCAUUUGAUACUGGCGUGCUUGAGGACUGGAGAGGAGACUGGAAUUUACGGUGUAGCAGUGAAAUGCGUAGAGAUCGUAAGGAAGACCAGUGGCGAAGGCGGGUCUCUGGGCCGAUACUGACGCUGAGGAGCGAAAGCGUGGGGAGCGAACAGG
rnacentral:rRNA from 1 species